UACGGAGGGUGCAAGCGUUAUCCGGAUUUACUGGGUUUAAAGGGUGCGUAGGUGGGUUGGUAAGUCAGUGGUGAAAUACUUUCGCUUAACGAAGGAACUGCCAUUGAUACUACCAGUCUUGAAUACAGUGGAGGUAGGCGGAAUGCGUCAUGUAGCGGUGAAAUGCUUAGAUAUGACAUAGAACACCAAUUGCGAAGGCAGCUUACUACGGGGUCAUUGACACUGAGGCACGAAAGCGUGGGGAUCAAACAGG
rnacentral:rRNA from 1 species